rnacentral:rRNA from 1 species
CGGGGUGAGUAAUGUCUGGGAAACUGCCUGAUGGAGGGGGGUAACUACUGGAAACGGUAGCUAAUACCGCAUAAUGUCUGCGGACCAAAGAGGGGGACCUUCGGGCCUCUUGCCAUCGGAUGUGCCCAGAUGGGAUUAGCUAGUAGGUGGGGUAACGGCUCACCUAGGCGACGAUCCCUAGCUGGUCUGAGAGGAUGACCAGCCACACUGGAACUGAGACACGGUCCAG